AGAAGUGGCAGGAUUGAUGUUGGGUGACUUCUGAGAUAUCUAAAAAGGCAACUCAGUUACUUGCCUGAAUAUUUCUCUUGAGACUCCAGCCUUGGGAGCCCUGAUAUUUUUCUUGUCCCUGUAGGAUGCCUCUUCUAGGAUAUCAUAUGAUGAUUCCAGUGUGUAGUGGUGGUGUUUGGCUUUUACUUAGUGCAUUGCUGUAGAGAAGCAUCCACACUGCUGUGUGCGUCAGGAGUUUGGUCCUUUUCACAUGUAUGCCCACCACUGUGCUACACUGUGACAGACGCUUCUGCCCACCCUGAGUGGAGUGUUGGCCUGAGAGGCUAAUCACUCACGAAGCAGGUAACAUCUGGGCGCUAUUUGCUGUCUUCUGCCUCAGGAGCAGGAAGGUGUCACAAAAACUCCUGAGAGGAGGGAAGCCGUAAUAGAUGAGACUUUCACAACCCUCCUCCCCCAGGAAAGUGGGGUCAGGGUGUGAAGGCAGCCUCAGGGUGGUCCUCAGGCAGAACAGAGCUUGGGACUAUGAGGUCCAUGCCCCCUCAGCACAGAGGCGAGGAAGAAGGAGGAGAUGGUUGGCUGCAGCAACCGUGGACUGGUGACCACCAUUCCCACCACCCUAAUCAUACUCUUGUGAUAUUAAUAAAAAUAAUUUAUGUCAUGUGA